GUAGGAUCCUGGUGGAGAUCUAGUGAUGUAUAAUCAUUCAUGGUGAAGUAAUAGAUGUGUUCUUGUUCUUAACGGUCUAAGUAUCUCCUUCUAUGGUUUUAUGCUCUUUUGGGUAUGCUUGCUUUUCAAUCUAUGAUUGAUGAUAAUUUGCUUAGGAUGUUUAUGUGGUCGUGGUGACCAGAUUUGCAUGCCUGAUCUACCGAUGAGUAUGACAUGUUCUUAUGAUCGUUCCCUUAGAUUUCCUAUGCUGAUAGAGACAAUCGUGAUGAGGUCUUUCUUGUGUAAGAUGGGGGGUUUUGGAAGCCAGACCGGAGGUGUAGAUUUAAAGAUGUUUUUAGCUAAGAUCAUAUAUAUGUUACUUUCCUAUCCAUGCUCAGAAUUACAAUAUAUGCAUAGUCUAGGUUGCUCUAGACUGGUUACCACUGGUCUAUCUGUUAUUUGUCUGUGUAUGCUAGAAUAGAUCUUAAUUAUUCAUCAAUAAAAGACUCAUACUAACAAUGCUAGUUGAAAUAGAUCUUGCAUUAUAAGUUCCACGGAUUGAUAAACCUUGGGGGAGUACUUUGAGGGAAGAGCUACAAAUGAUCCAUACACUUGCGGUUUACAAAUUAGCACGCUAAAUGCCGUC
rnacentral:lncRNA from 1 species